GUUCUUCAUCAUGGCAAUACAGUCUCUUGGGUUGAUGAUACAAGUCUUGAUGCUCUACCAUAUGUUCGCUGAGACUCAUCAAUGCAUUGCCUACGAUUCGACUGGAUUGAUAAGUGUACAAAGCACAACUGCCAUAUCCAAAGAUUGUCUCGAUUUAAGUCUGCGCACCCCAAAGUGUGUUUACUUUACAUGGGUUUCAACAGUGUGUACACUUCGGGUUCCCACAAG